rnacentral:misc_RNA from 1 species
CCGGCAAGCCUUGUCAGC